rnacentral:rRNA from 1 species
AACGAACGCUGGCGGCAGGCUUAACACAUGCAAGUCGAACGCAUCCUUCGGGGUGAGUGGCAGACGGGUGAGUAACGCGUGGGAACGUGCCCUUCAGUUCGGGAUAACCCAGGGAAACUUGGGCUAAUACCGGAUACGUGCGAGAGCAGAAAGAUUUAUCGCUGAAGGAUCGGCCCGCGUCUGAUUAGCUAGUUGGUGGGGUAAUGGCCCACCAAGGCGACGAUCAGUAGCUGGUCUGAGAGGAUGAUCAGCCACAUUGGGACUGAGACACGGCCCAAACUCCUACGGGAGGCAGCAGUGGGGAAUAUUGGACAAUGGGCGCAAGCCUGAUCCAGCCAUGCCGCGUGAGUGAUGAAGGCUUUAGGGUUGUAAAGCUCUCUCGUCCGGGACGAUAAUGACGGUACCGGAAGAAGAAGCCCCGGCUAACUUCGUGCCAGCCGCCGCGGUAAAAC